AUUGAACGCUGGCGGCAGGCCUAGCACAUGCAAGUCGAACGGUAACAGGAAACAGCUUGCUGUUUCGCUGACGAGUGGCGGACGGGUGAGUAAUGUCUGGGAAACUGCCUGAUGGAGGGGGAUAACUACUGGAAACGGUAGCUAAUACCGCAUAACUUCGCAAGACCAAAGAGGGGGACCUUCGGGCCUCUUGCCAUCGGAUGUGCCCAGAUGGGAUUAGCUAGUAGGUGGGGUAACGGCUCACCUAGGCGACGAUCCCUAGCUGGUCUGAGAGGAUGACCAGCCACACUGGAACUGAGACACGGUCCAGACUCCUACGGGAGGCAGCAGUGGGGAAUAUUGCACAAUGGGCGAAAGCCUGAUGCAGCCAUGCCGCGUGUAUGAAGAAGGCCUUCGGGUUGUAAAGUACUUUCAGCGGGGAGGAAGGGAGUAAAGUUAAUACAUUGACUCAUUGACGUUACCCGCAGAAGAAGCACCGGCUAACUACGUG
rnacentral:rRNA from 1 species